CUCUGUCUCUCAAAAAUAAAUAAACUUAAAUUUAAAAAAAAAAAAAGAAAAAAGGUUAUAAAGUAAAGCAAAUGGAAUCAUAGCCUAUUUGGCUCAGUAAAAAAUAAUAUUUACUUAGUAAAAAUAAUAAAAAACCAGGAACAGGAAGUUAACCCAAAUUUGUGAAAUAGCAGUCUUGAAAAGAUAUAGAAGGUAAGAAGACAGGGUAUGAGACUGAAAAUUCUGGCUUCAUAAAAUAGGAAGUCAGAGUACAUGAAAAGACUUGCAAACCGUUAACUGCCUCUGGAGAAUGGCAUUGAGGGAGGGCACAGAUGACUGCUAUUUUUUUAUAUGUAAGCCUUUUAGCAUUAUUUGACUUUUAAAACCAUGUGCGUGUAUUUCUGUGAUGAAUUUUUUAAAGCAAAAAAAAAAAGGAUAAAAUUACAAUACAGUUAACCCUGUGCCCUUUCUUUUCACAACUUAAAUAUUUCUAAAAUACACUGGAGAAAUAAAAAACCUUCUCCAUUCAUGGAAGCAAGCAACGCAAUUGUACUAAACUUAUUUUAUUUAAAAGAUGUGGUUAUAAAGUAUUAAAUCUUUCCCCUCAUCCAUCCUUACGGCCCACAAAUUACCAAAAUACAAAGCUCUUUGUGAUCUUUUUUUUCACAUCGUUAUUACUCACUCAUACUUGUAGGUGUUUAAAACCAACUUAGAACACUGGGAAUGUUUUUAUGACACAGUAUCACAAUAAACACAUAGGAAACAUCCUCCCUCUUAUUCCAUUUUCCAUUGCUAAAACAUGAAACAAAUGCAGACAUUUGUCCUGAACUAUCUAGCAUAUGAGCCUAAGACUCUUAGCAGUGAUAUUUAUGAUUUUUAUCAUGCUAUCAUUAAUUAGGAUUAAUUAUAAACUGAGGGCUGUCAUAAAUAAACAAACACCAGGAGCUAUCAAUUUUCUAAUGUCAUGAAGAAUAUGAAAUUAGAAAGGAUUCUCCCAGAAUUUAUCAGAAGGGUAAGGCGAAAACAACAGUUAAAUCAGGAGUUCUGAGCCCCUUUUCUCCCUAGCACGCUUAAGGGAUAGGACAUAUUCUAUUGUGGCUCACUAGUGACCUCACCUCUCCCACAGGGAAGUAUUAUUAACAUUUAUACUAGUGGAAGAAGAGCCAUGGGUAGUUUGAAAAAUGCCCCCUAAGUAAUUCUAGCAGGGCCCUGUGUCCUGCUAUCCCCACUCAUGGGCAUGUUUCCUCUUCUCUCUUUCUCCUCCCCACUUUGCUCCUUUCAUCCAAUGGAGAUAUCUAGUUUAGGGAUCAAAUUAAAAAGAAGAUAGAUGUCACCAUAAGGCAAAAGAUAAGAGCUCCAAGCAACAAGGAGACAGAGUAUUUAUAACUUGCCUCCAACACCACUCAGACCUCCCCUUUUCCAAGUCUUUGUUGAUUUUCUAGGCUUAAUGUUGAGACUGGAAUAAUUUCAGAAAAAGGGAACAGGGCGUGUCAGAGACAACUUGUGACAAACUUCCCAUCACUAGGGAUGCCCAUAUUUCCCUUCCCCAGUCGCCAUCCAAGCAGGGACUCAACACAUUCUUACCCCAUUUCUCCCUCACAUUUCCCCUAACCUGCUUCCAAAACAUACUUGUUUGUAUGCUUUGGUUAAUUGAAAUAGUAAGACUAGCCAACAUUGACUAGACUCUUAUUAACACUCAAUAUUUUAUGAAAAAAAAAAAGUUCACACAUGUCAUUUGAGAUUCUGGGUCCAUAACAUUUUGAUAUCUGAAGAAAAUAACGAUAAGGAGAAAGGGCUUCAGACUCUCAAAGAUUCUUGUUCUAGCCCGGGGUAAAUCACACAUGAUUUCAUACAACUAUUCAUUUCUUUACCUGGUAAACAAAAAGAGCAAGGGGGCAUUUAGUUAGGUCUGAGGGCCUCUUCCCUUCAGACUCCUCUGACCCCAUCAUCUUCAUUGCUUCAGAGUAGCUCUGACCGUACUAGACUAUGUUGAUGUCCACUGUAGGAUUUCAUUUGAAACACUUUCGAAAAUGGCAGGAAAGGUUCCUUCCAGCUCCAGCCUUCUGGUAAUGCUAUGGCAUAGGCUCUGAGAACUUCACUACAACACUGUCUUAUCUACCCAUUCACAUCCCAGUUUAAUGUUUCCACUGUGCUGACUGUAUGGCCUAUACACACAUGUCUACAUUGGAGAUGUCAGGUCCAAAUUCCUUCGAAUACAAUACAGGGCCUUUCCAUUUGAUCUGGUUAAACAUUUCCUUUCUCCUCACAUUCUGCCCCUCUCUGACUACCCCCUUCCCAUCCCAACAACACAUAUCCUUUUCUUUAGUACCUAAAGCUCCUGUCAUUACCAUGUCGUGCCAUGUUCCCUCAUGUCUCAGUGCCUUUGUUCAUGCUUGUUUCUCUACCCAGCAUUCCUUCUGUCUACCAAUGUCACUUGAAAACUCAUAUUCAUCUUAUAAUCACCUCCUCUAAGAAGUCUUUCCAAACUUCUUCAGGCAAAAUUACUCUCUUUCUUGUAUUCACUAUAUUAAAAAGCAUCAAUUACAAAAUAUAGUUCACUAUUUAUAUAUCUAUUUCCUGUACUAGGUGGUGAGUUUCCAAAGGACAGAAAAUUACUCAUAUUUCUAUCUCUAACAUAGAACCUGGCACAGUUCUGGAAAAGUUACCCAGUAUUUCCCGAGUGACUGUGUGAACAGGAUAGAAGAUAAGAGAUAGCUAGUGUUAGUGCACUUCCUGGGUAUAGUCGCUAGCCUAGCAUCGCAUGUAAGGAGGAACCUCACAAAAGAUCUGUGAUAGUAACUGUAGCAAACAUACCUGGUGCCCUGACUGACCUUCUUUUGGGCUUGCCUCUGAUCUCAGAGUUAGUUGGUUACGUGAGUUAGAUUCGCUUUAUGGUGACCACCUCUCUCCUAGAGAAGAUGCAACAGUAGAUACUUGACCCCCAAAUCCACGGGUCCUAUUGUAUAUUGCAUCACCUAGAAGGACCCUGUCUUUUAGGAUUGAGAAUGGCCUCAUUUUGGCUCAAAUAUGGCAUCAGUCCAUGUCUACAACUGGCAGGGUUGGGAUGCCAUUCCCCAGGAUUCAUUACAUGCACUGAAACAAUACUGUGCACCCCAAAGCUGGUGCUCUGUAUCUCAAAGCUGGAAAACAAAGGUCUGGCCACCAAGGAGUGCAAGGUUGACUCUUGUCAUCAUUCCCAGUGACACAACUGUUUAACUGGGAUUUCUCGUUUCUACAACUUUAACCUUUGCUAAAAUAGAGGCUCUGGUUCUUGGAAGCCAAUACUUCUCCAUGAGACGCUGAGCUUAAAGCUGUAAACCCGCUGGUCACUCAGGCUCUUCAUGCCACUGGAUCACAGGUAAAGAAUGGAGUUCCCAUACUAGCAGAGAAACUGGCUGUGACAAUCCUAAGGAGACAGAGUCGCUGCUACACAAUGGGUAAAAAGGAGGAGUAAGUGGGGCGCCUGGGUGGCUCAGUCAGUUAAGCAUCUGACUUCAGCUCAGGUCACGAUCUUACGGUCCAUGAGUUCAAGCCCCGCAUCAGGCUCUGGGCUGAUGGCUCAGAGCCUGGAGCCUGCUUCUGAUUCUGUGUCUCCCUCUCUCUCUGCCCCUCCCCCGUUCAUGCUCUGUCUCUCUCUGUCCCAAAAAUAAAUAAACGUUAAAAAAAAAAUUAAAAAAAAAAAAGGGAGGAGUAAGUCUGGAUAUCUUGGGAUACACUGAGGUGUUUCUACACCAACUGAUCACAGAGAACAAGCAAUUGUAGGAAGCCAGUCAACCCAGGCUUCGACCUCCCCACCAGGGGUGAGGGUCUGGGUCACCCACUGAGCAAGCAUCCUCAGAAGUGUUGGUUUUGGAUGAGGGAAGUCAAGAAUGGAUAGUGGAGGAGAGAGAUGAUGGCUAUCCAUUGCAGCCUCAAAAUCAGCUGCAGCAAAAGGGCCUGUAGCUGGUUGCAUUGAUAAAUCUUUUCUUAGAGACAGGGACAGCCUAGUCUUUGAAGAAUCAGUGACAGAAUAGAAUUCAUGAAGCAGAUUUGUGGAUCUGAGCAACACCAAGAGCGUGGUAGUAGCAGACAGAAGACUUUGGGCACUGGGGUGAACAGUGCCACUCGUGCCUUCGCUCCCUGCCUGCUAACAGCUUGCCCCCAGUAUGCAUGACUGAGCCCGCCCACACCACUGCAGGGACCUCAGUAGCACAGCUGUAUAUUGGAUUACCUCCGUCUCUGCCUCACAACCCCCACCCCCUCACUGCUGCCUGCUAGCAUCAUCUCCAGAAUAAACUACGUUCACCCAAGUCCUCGUUUGGGGCUAUGUUUUCAGUGGAAUCCAAGGGAAUACCCUGAUCAUGUUUAAAACUGGCAUUUUCAAACCAGCUUUAUAACCCUGCAUUGUCUCCCCAAUAGACUAGCUACUUAGGAAAAUAUUCCAGAGGCACCUGAGCGGCUCAGUCAGUUAAGGCUCCAACUUUGGCUCAGGUCAUGAUCUCAUGGUUCAUGAGUUCAAGCCCUGCAUCAGGCUCUAUGCUGACAGCAUGGAGCCUGCUUGUGAUCUUCUCUCUUUCUCUCUCUCUCUCUCUCUCUCUCUCUCUCUCUCUCCCUCCCUCCCUCCCUCUCUCCCUCUCUCAAAAAAACACUUAAAAAAUAAAUAUUCCAGAGUACUUCAUUUCUUUCAAAGCACAUUUAUGAGUAAUAGGAAAAGUGAUAGAGUGGUUAUUAUUCCCUGUAUUUUUCAUUUUUUAAACAAAUGCAGGAGACUUGGAGAGAUUAUAUGUCUUGCCCACUGCCGAAGGGUUUAUAAGUGGUGGAGACAGGGUGCUGUGUAUUGAUACCCAUAGUAGCUAUUGUGGGUAUCCGUACAAAGCUCCUUUAUAGGUCAGUUUACCCAUCCCUCAGAGGCUGCAGUGUUGCUGCUAGGAGCUCACAGCUACAACCUUUCUCCAGAGAAUGCCCUCUGUGGAGGUUACAUACUUAUACCCUAUGCAGGGGCCACCACAGUCAAUGACUGAAUGAACCAAAGUUCAGCCACCCUGUCUCAACAUGGGGCUUCUCUGUGGUGUCAUUCAUGCUCCAGAGUUCCCCAGGCAAUCAGGUCAUGGCUAGAGGUGAGCUAAAACACAUCUGUGCUUAUCUUCUCCCUCUGCCCUGUCCUGUGCCCUCACUUCUUAUAGAGCCCUUGCUCAAUACAUCACUUGCCCAUUCUUGUCUCUAGUGACCCUCACCUAGGGCAAGAUUUGUGUUUUAUAAUUGCUAGUCCAGUGUAUUCCCCAUUGCAGAACUCCACAUGGUUAAACAAAUGAUAGCCUCUAGGGGCACCUGGGUGGCUCAGUCGGUUAAGCAUUAAGCACCAACUGCAGCACAGGUCGUGAUUUCGCAGUUUGUGGGUUCGAACCCGAAAUGGGCUCUGUGCUGACAGCUCAGAGCCUGGGCCUGCUUCGGAUUCUGUGUCUCCCUCUCUCUCUGCUCCUUCCCCACUCGUGCUCUGUCUCUGUCUCUCACAAGUAAAUAAACAUUUAAAAAUAUAUAAAGAAAUGAUAGCUCCUUACUUAUCACUACAUACUUGUUAAUGCUGGAUAGAUAUUUUCCCUCUGUCUUAGAAAACUCACAUAAACUCAUAUCCCAGCCUAUCUUGUAGUAUGCUAAUAAGGAGAAUGUCUUUCUCACAUAACCACAAAGAUAUUGUAUUUUUAGGGAUAAACUUUGAAAUAACUCAAUCGCUAUAUUACAGCAGUUUCAUUUUAUACUACAUUAUAUCAUUUGCUAAUUAUGAAAUGUUACUAAUCUAAGGUGGACAAUAAAGAACCUCACAGGUCAACAUAAUUAACACGUCUCACUUUAUAGCAGUAUAUAAAAUAAACCAUCAGCUCCGAAGGACCUGCCUAGAAAAUGAUAAGACUAUUAUCUCCAUUUUCCCACUUUAUUCUCUUCUUUAAGGUCUAAAAUGAGGUAAAUUUCAUGGACUUUAACUGUCUGAAAAUUCUCACAAAGACAAUGGUUCGUUCUGUUGGCAGUCAUCCCUGAGAACUGGUAACUGUAUAACUCAAGGUCUAACUGGAAAUCAGAAACCACCUAUAUAUCUACAUCAGAGACUUUAGUAACAGAGAAUUGAUGGCACAGUUAAUGGAAGAGAGGCUGAGAAACCCAACAGAAAAGCAAGAUAGCCCAGAGACUGGCAAUAGCAGAAAGCCACCACCAGCCCUAAAGCUGGAGGAAUCACAAAAGAAGGCAGGACUUGGGGUCUCCUGCAGGAUCUGGGGUCCUGGCUUCUACCACCCUCUAACCCUAAUGUCCCCUAUAAGUUGACCCUUGCCAAAGACCAACAGACAAGGAGGAGCCUGGGAAUCAAUCCAGCGUGGCAGGUCCGAUCCCCUGUCACAGGGAGCAAAGCAGAAGAUGAGCAAGGAAGGUACACACAGACAACAGUUCCGGGGCCAGGGCAUUGACAUGCACACAUUGCAACAAAGCUCUUCCACAACAAUCAAAGGCCCCCAUGUGAGAAGCAGCUCGUCAAGAUCAUUGCCUGGAAUUCUAACACCAGAGAACAAAACAAGGGGGAAUAUAGUCUUUGAUUUUUCAGCUAAUCAAAUUAUUCAUCAAAACCACAGGGAAAGCCUUCCAAUUCAGUUUUGUAGCAGCCCUUACAUAUAUUUCAGAAACGUUCUCACUAGCAUCCUGUGGAGUAGCUUUAGGAACAGACCAGGCAGCUUUGCAAAUGUAACUGGUUUGUUGUUGUUGUUUUAGUCACCUAGCCUUCAAGCCCUUCUAUAAAAUGUAAAUACUUGAAGCCUAUCUUCUAUGCAGGCUUGAACUUAAGGGAUUACUGAAUUUAAAAAAUAUGUUUAUACAUUUUAGGAUGAGAAUUAUAAUGUGCAAACUAGGUAUUAUAAUUAAUGCUUGCAAUAAUACUCAUCAUUAAAUAAAAGAAAAAGUUGAUUCAAGCAUAAAAUCUUUGAAGCAAAAAAUUAAAUUUAACAAAGAAAAUCUAUUGUGCAAACUGAACAAGCACUCAAUAAUGUAAUAAAUCCAAUGAUUUCUUUGAAUUAUUUUUUCUUUUUUUUUUAUUUCGAAGGUAAUAUAAUCAGAAACCAAAGUAUAAUCAGAAGCCGUACUAUGAGUGAGUGGGAUUUGCGGAAAGCAGAAAACUUGGAAAAUACCAAAAAUGUCAUAAUCCCACCAGCACAAAUACUGUUAGCAUAUUCCUAUCUGAGUCAUGAAUCAUUUAUUGAGAGCUCCAAAUGGGAGGCAUUAUCAAGAGCUCUGUGCUAGACAAUGGAUGAUAUCCAUUUGAUUACAAGUUUAAAUCAAGAUCACAACUGUCACUUGUUCAUAGCACAGAGAAGUGAUGGGGAAGAAAAGUAGGAAAAAGAAUGCAUCUGUUACCCUUCCCACCAUAUUCAGUGACUCAGGAGUCUGGGUCCGUGGAAAGCUACCACUACUCAAAAUAUCACAGAAUGCAAACCGAUUUUCUGGAUUCCCAAUCAUUUCCUAUCUCCAGUUAGAAUCACAUUUCACAGACUCCAUAAAUAGCUCCUUAAGAGAAGGAAAUUCCAAAGGAAUGAAAACUAAAGUUCCAUUAAAGAACAUUUUUCUCACCUUGCUUCAGUCUACAGACUUGUCCUUAAAAAUGUUUAAAUCUAGGGUCAGACUUUGGUUCAGGUCAUGAUCUCACAAUUCAUGAGUUUGAGCCCCACAUCAGGCUUUCUGCUGUCAGCACAGAGUCCUCUUUGUAUCUUCUGCCCCCACCUGCCCCUCCCCCACUCACAUACACUCCCUCUCAAAAAAAAAAUAAUAAACAUUUUUUUAAAUAUUCAAAUGUAGCAAAAUUAAACUCUUACUGCUGAAACUGUAAGACCCAACAGGGUCCCCUCAAAUCUAGAAUCUGUAUCACACAAUUUAGCACCAGAUAACUGUAUACCGUUUCCAUUUGAUACUUUUAUAUGUGUUGUUCUCAGUUUCCAUCAAGAUUGUAAACUAGGUAGCCACCAUCAGAUCUCACAUUUCCCUGCUAUCCAACAACCCACCUCACCCACCAAGCACCUAGCACGUGCUCAAUAAAUACUUUUCAUACAGCCCUUUCAUAAUGAUGGCGCCAAUAGUGAGGAAGGAAGGCCUUGACCCUCCCAAAGCUGAAGCCAAAGCAAAGGUUUUGAAAGCCAAGAAAGCAGUGCUGAAAAGUGUCCACAGUCACCAAAAAAAAAAAAAAAGAAAAGAAAAAUCCAUACAUCAUCUACAUUCUGAAGGCCCAAGACAAUGAAUCUCCAAAGGCAGUCCAAAUAUCUUCAAAAGAGCACCCCCAGGUGAAACAAGCUUGACCACUAUGCCAUCAUCCAGUUCCCCUUGACUACCAAGUCAGCCAUGAAGAAAAUAAAAGACAAAAACACUCUUGUGUUCAUUGUAGAUGUCAAGGCCAACAAACACCAGAUCAAACAGUUUGUGAAGAAGCCCUAAGAUGUUGACGUGGCCAAGGUCAACACACUGAUCAGGCCCAAUGGAAAGAAAAAGGCAUAUAUUUGAUCAGCUCUUGACUAUGAUGCUUUGGAUGUUGCCAACAAAAUUGGGAUCAUCUAAACUGAGUCCAGGUGGCUAAAUCUAAAGUAUUU
rnacentral:lncRNA from 1 species